AACAAGUUUGUUUGUUUAUGUUUAUCGAUGUGUGCUUCUGGGGUUUCAGUCGAUUAACGGACGAAUGUUUAUCGUUACUAUAUAAAAUUGCUACAAAUAGUUUGGAUAUUGACAACUAAUAAACCAAGAAGCACUCGAAAUGGUAAGAGCUUGCUUUGUGGAAGGAUGCAACUCACGGACAGGAUCACCCGAAAUCUCGCUCCAUAGUUUUCCCAAGGAUCAACAUAUGAUUCAGAAAUGGCUGAAAGCAGUUGGGCGCAAAGCUACGAAUCGAAAACGGUUGAUAUGUUCGAAACAUUUCCCUCUGUCAGCCUAUAAAAAUACAAAGGAUUUUUCAAGAGGCUUGAAAGCAUUUGCCGUUCCAGUGUUUUCUGCAGGAAACGAAGUACCAAAUGAAGCUGAACUCACGUUUGUGAAUUUCAAUCGGUA